rnacentral:lncRNA from 1 species
GUGGAAAGUGUGAAGUCCAUUGUACUGUGCAUGAGUCUGUUAUCAGAAGGCAAAAGGAUCUUUAAUAGAAGGCUGAAGAGUCCGUGCUGGAAACCAGGAGACAACGUCCAAGAUGAAGGUGAACACUGGAGCCCCUCUGAAGAAACAAAAAAAGUGAGAGUUUCUCAUGCACAGAAUGUGCAUUAGUGGUGAUGGAAUUUCUUCUAGGAGACAGAGAAACCCACAGUAAUGGAUUAAAAGAACCUGACCAAAAAGAUAUGCAGCUAGAAGUAGCAGAUGACCCUUGUUAUGGCUUGGUUAUGUCCUCCAAGAUUGUUAUUGGAAGCAGCAGUUCCUGUAAGUUUGCCAGGCUGUCUUUGUGGGCUGAUUAAGGUUAAGAUCUGGCCAUGGAGUUCAAGCUGGCCUUGGACUGACUGUAUAAUCAUAGGCUGGCCUCCAACUCACAGCAAUCCUCCUGUCUCAGCCUCUCAAGCACUGGAUUACAGGAAUGUGCCACCAUGCUCAGCGAAUUUUCUGUUUUUAUCCAAGUUUUCAGUUUGAUUUAUUUUAUCUACCUCCUCAACAUUGCUUUCUAACUCUUUUUUCUCUUAUAUUAAGCUCUUUUCUUUCCCUCAUUGGUUCUUUUUUUCUUUUUUAAAUUAGCAUCACUGAUGUUUCCUGUAGAUUCAUUUUUUUUAAGUCUUUUAUUUGUUUUUCAUUCAGUUUGUUUUCUAUUCCUUGCAUGUUUUCUGUUUUUCCCAAAUUGUUGUUUUUAUUUUCUUCUCUUAUAUAACUUUUUUACAAUGUUUAAUGAGCUUUCAUUAUAUGCUUAGAUUUUAAAUGUAGGCCACUAAAAAAGCAUGCACAUGUUUGUACAACUUGGUAUGAAUAAAUAUGUUACUGUGGAAAAAAUCUAGCUGGCUGAUGCCUCAGAUCAUCCCUGAUACAGGAAACUAGAAUUAUUUUUCUUUUCUCUUUGGUCUGGUUAAACUUCUAUAAGGAUUUCUGGUCUUUCUCCUGAAGGUUAAAUGUUUGGCAGCUUAAGAUCCCUGGGUAGUUACCAACCAGGAGCUUUCAAACUACCAUAUUUCCUUUAUGUUUUUUAGUUGAUAUCUUUAAAAUAUUUUUAUUAUUAUUAUAGUGAUG